CCCUGUUGUGAGAGACUGCGUACACGAGCGGUUCUCUCUCCUCCGUCUCUUUCCACUUUCCGAGAUCUAUCCAUCUCCAAGCCAUGGCCGGCGGCUCCCCGCCGAAUCUCUCCCUGAUCGAUCCAGGUUCAUGCCCAUGCCUAAUUCCGUUCGCCGCUUCGGAAAGCUUCCACCUUUCGCCGUGAUCCGGUGAGCACGGUCUUCGGAAACAGGAUGGGCGUACAUGCGAUCGAUCUGGAUGCUGUUCCCUGAUUGUCACCGAUCUGGGCGCUGUGUUCCCCCAUAUGCCCUGGCUCUCUGGCCGUUGUUUCUCAUCCGAUCUGAAUCUUGGACGACGCCAUCUUUUGCUGAUAGAUGAACGCAAGGGGGAAAGGUUCGAUCUUUAUGCAGCUCAACUGUCUUUUAUGUAGUUUAUGGCUCAGUCGGUCCCAGAUCAGGUAUCCUUCAGCAUUUGUAGGUCGUUUCGCUUGGUCCAGUUUUGUACGUCUCUCAUGGAUCAGCCCAUGUACAGACUCAUGCCAUGAUUUUGUCAGAUUGUUUUUUAUCGAUCUA